CCUACGGGAGGCAGCAGUGGGGAAUAUUGGGCAAUGGGCGCAAGCCUUACCCAGCAAUACCGCGUGAGUGAAGAAGGUCUUCGGAGUGUAAAGCUCUUUGAUCAGGGACGAACAGAUGACGGUACCUGCAGAACAAGCCCCGUCUAACUAUGUGCCAGCAGCCGCGGUCAAACGUGGGGGGCGAGUGGUGUCCGGAAUGACUGGGCGUAACGGGUGCGUAGGCUGCAUAAUAAGUUAAAAGGGAAAUACCCAGGGCUUAACCGUGGUGCUGCUUCUAAGACUGUUGAGCUUGAGUGCGGGGGAGGUAGAUGGAAUUCCUAGUGUAGCGGUGGAAUGCGUAGAUAUUAGGAGGAACACCAGAGGCGAAGGCGACUAACUGGACCGCAACUGACGUUGAGGCACGAAAGUGUGGGUAGCAAACAGGAUUAGAUACCCCAGUAGUC
rnacentral:rRNA from 1 species